rnacentral:rRNA from 1 species
GAUGAACGCUAGCUACAGGCUUAACACAUGCAAGUCGCAGGGUAACAUGAGGAAAGCUUGCUUUCCUUGAUGACGACUGGCGCACGGGUGAGUAACGCGUAUCCAACCUUCCCAUAACUACGGGAUAACCCGUUGAAAGACGGCCUAAUACCGUAUGAUAUCGUUUGCUGACAUCAAAUAACGAUUAAAGGUUUAGCGGUUAUGGAUGGGGAUGCGUCUGAUUAGCUUGUUGGCGGGGUAACGGCCCACCAAGGCGACGAUCAGUAGGGGUUCUGAGAGGAAGGUCCCCCACAUGGGAACUGAGACACGGGCCAAACUCCUACGGGAGGCAGCAGUGAGGAAUAGUGGUCAAUGGGCGAGAGCCUGAACCAGCCAAGUAGCGUGCAGGAUGACGGCCCUAUGGGUUGUAAACUGCUUUUAGGUGGGGAUAAAGUGCGUGACGUGUCAUGCAUUGCAGGUACCACAUGAAUAAGGACCGGCUAAUUCCGUG